rnacentral:rRNA from 1 species
CACCGGGUGGAUGAGUGGCGAACGGGUGAGUAACACGUGAGUAACCUGCCCCUGACUUCGGGAUAAGCCCGGGAAACUGGGUCUAAUACCGGAUACGACCGCCGGACGCAUGUCUGGUGGUGGAAAGUUUUUUCGGUUGGGGAUGGGCUCGCGGCCUAUCAGUUUGUUGGUGAGGUAAUGGCUCACCAAGACGACGACGGGUAGCCGGCCUGAGAGGGCGACCGGCCACACUGGGACUGAGACACGGCCCAGACUCCUACGGGAGGCAGCAGUGGGGAAUAUUGCACAAUGGGGGAAACCCUGAUGCAGCGACGCAGCGUGCGGGAUGACGGCCUUCGGGUUGUAAACCGCUUUCAGCAGGGAAGAAGCGCAAGUGACGGUACCUGCAGAAGAAGUACCGGCUAACUACGUGCCAGCAGCCGCGGUAAUACGUAGGGUACGAGCGUUGUCCGGAAUUAUUGGGCGUAAAGAGCUCGUAGGUGGUUGGUCACGUCUGCUGUGGAAACGCAACGCUUAACGUUGCGCGUGCAGUGGGUACGGGCUGACUAGAGUGCAGUAGGGGAGUCUGGAAUUCCUGGUGUAGCGGUGAAAUGCGCAGA